rnacentral:lncRNA from 1 species
CGCGCACGCCUCACCGCGGGGUCCCCGGGGCUCACGUGACGCCGGAAGUGGCCGCCGCUGCGCAUGCGCCCGGAGGGUCUCAGCGGCACGUGCCCACACGGGCUGCGCACUGAAGAUGACUGCCGCGUGGGGUCCAGUGUGAGGCGGCGGAGGGGGAACUCCGCCAGCUCUCCAGCUCCUCACGCCCCGGGGCUGAGCCGGGGGUCCCUGGCUUGUUGGGCGGCGGCCGUCCGGCAGCCGUGGAGGCUCACGAGGGAGGAAACAGGGUCAAGAGAACGAUUCCAAAAGUCUCUGCUAUGUUUGCCCCACACAAGAAAGGGAAUGAAAAUCUUUUGA